UACGGGGGGGGCAAGCGUUGUUCGGAUUUACUGGGCGUAAAGGGCGCGUAGGCGGUCAGCACAAGUCAGUUGUGAAAUCUCCGGGCUUAACCCGGAAAGGUCAACUGAUACUGUGCGACUAGAGUGCGGAAGGGGCAACUGGAAUUCUCGGUGUAGCGGUGAAAUGCGUAGAUAUCGAGAGGAACACCUGCGGCGAAGGCGGGUUGCUGGACGCGACACUGACGCUGAUGCGCGAAAGCCAGGGGAGCGAACGGG
rnacentral:rRNA from 1 species